rnacentral:rRNA from 1 species
AUACGGAGGGGGCUAGCGUUGUUCGGAAUUACUGGGCGUAAAGCGCGCGUAGGCGGUUUAUCAAGUCAGGCGUGAAAGCCCUGGGCUCAACCCAGGAACUGCGUUUGAUACUGGUUGACUAGAGGCCGAGAGAGGGUAGUGGAAUUCCCAGUGUAGAGGUGAAAUUCGUAGAUAUUGGGAAGAACACCGGUGGCGAAGGCGGCUACCUGGACCGGACCUGACGCUGAGGUGCGAAAGCGUGGGGAGCAAACAGAAUUAGAAACCCCAGUAGUCC